AGUGAACGCUGGCGGUAGGCCUAACACAUGCAAGUCGAACGGCAGCACAGUAAGAGCUUGCUCUUACGGGUGUCGAGUGGCGGACGGGUGAGGAAUACAUCGGAAUCUACUUUUUCGUGGGGGAUAACGUAGGGAAACUUACGCUAAUACCGCAUACGACCUACGGGUGAAAGCAGGGGAUCUUCGGACCUUGCGCGAUUGAAUGAGCCGAUGUCGGAUUAGCUAGUUGGCGGGGUAAAGGCCCACCAAGGCGACGAUCCGUAGCUGGUCUGAGAGGAUGAUCAGACACACUGGAACUGAGAAAAGGUCCAGACUCCUACGGGAGGAAGCAGUGGGGAAUAUUGGACAAUGGGCGAAAGCCUGAUCCAGCCAUACCGCGUGGGUGAAGAAGGACUUCGGGUUGUAAAGCCCUUUUGUUGGGAAAGAAAAGCAGCAGGUUAAUACCCCGCUGUUCUGACGGUACCCAAAGAAUAAGCACCGGCUAACUUCGUG
rnacentral:rRNA from 1 species